GCUAGCUAGCUAGCUAUAGCUAAUUAACAUUCAUUCAUGAGAACCAACUCGAUCAGAAACGAUUGUGAUUGUGAUUGUGAUUGUGAUUGUGAUUGAUUCACUACAGAGGUUGUUUUACCAAUGAUGGGUGGACUGGACGGAGACCUAAGCUAGCUAAGCUAACUGGAACAAGCUAAGAAGAUGAGAGAAGCCGAUCGAGGGUGUACGUUGUGGUUGUGUUACUUUCAGCUGAGUCGUCGAUCGUCUGAUCUAAUCUUCCGAUCCAACCCUAAAUUCCAUCUUAAUUAAUAAUGUUAUAUAUUCUCAUUCUGAUCAUUGUUAUUCUUGUAUCUAUUUGCAUUUCUGGGUUGCUUAUUGCUUCCUAGCCUCAUUAAUAAUCAAUCAAACUAGCUAGCUAGCUACUUUAAUUUCCAAUUUUGGCUUAAUUUCACUAAUUUUGAUAUAUGCAUGCAGUACUGGAACUGGUGGUGACAGACUCCAAUUAGACCUACACUUCACUUCACCUCUGCAUGCAUUAUAUUUGCUGAGACCCAACUAACUCGAUCGGAGGAGAAGCUUCUGGUUUUCAGAGGAAUAUUGUCUUAUGUUAACAAACUCAUGUAACAAGUUCUAAUAUCACACCCUCGAUCAUUAAUUUAAUGGUCACACCAAAUUGUUCUUCAAGUGUUCUACGGAGGGAAAGGAUUACUUUAGAUUAAUCAGACAAACUUUGUCAUUGGUUUUCCCUCAACUAGAUGGGAAUUUGGAUACCAAAACUUAACCAAGGAAUGAUUUUAUUUUCGAUCUUGUCUUGUUCAAAUACUUACUUGCUGCUCACUACUCAUUCUACUUCUCAACUGCUUAAAAGUUGGAGCUUUUUAGCCUAGAAAAAUUGCUCAACAUAUGGAAAGUAAUAAUAGAUGCGUAUCAAUCAACCGGUCUCUAUUUGGAAUCAAUCUUCAACAAUCAAUCAAACCUAAAUUCUUCAGUCUUUUGUCUUGAAUGUGACGAACAUAUUGUGUCAGUAUGACAUGAAGUUUAGGAGCGAUUCUAGUUGUUGAGGGAGUAUUGAGCCCUGCCAUCUUCAAGGUCCUGCUGAGAUGCUUCUGAGCCUUUUCAAAGUGGUCAGGGCAGAGAGGUGGAACAGUUGAUCUCGUUACAGGUUUCAUGCAAGUUAUAGGUCGUCCAUCUUGUGCACUGGAAACAACAAAGUCACUUAGUGUCAGUUUGGUUUCUCAUUUGCAUCUAACACAAACAGAAAAACACACAUUCCAACAUAUCAGCAGAAAAGUAAAAAUCGUCAUUGAGUUCUAUGAAAAUCCAAACAUAUACACAUGCCAACAAUUAGAAAAACAUUUCCACUCAAAAUCAUAGGAUCAUAAUCCUUUAAUGUUCUUGUCUUGCUGUUCCCUGCAGGGCAUUGACCAUAUGUGCUCUUGGGCACAUCAGCAAUUGAUUGCAGCAAAAGAUGCUGAUAACAUAUAUAUGGUUUCUCAAAAUUGUAAGAAGCAAUCAGAAAUUGAAGGAAGAGCAUAAUUGGAUUUCAUUUGAGCAUGAAAUUAAGAAGAAAAGUUGCAAUUAAGUACCUUUGGAUAACAUAAGUGCAUGGCUGGUAAAGCAGCUGCCUUGGAUCAGAAAGGAUGUGAAGAUGGCAGAAGGAGGUCAAAGGCAUGGCGUUGGAAGGACAACCCUGAAAAGCACAGGGUUGGGGCUGAGGUUGGGGAAUUGAGUCAUCUUCGAAAGGGGAGAAGGGAUACUGAGUGGUGUAAAGAGUGAAGAGGUGGUGAAUGAGAGUCCAGUAGAGGUCUCUGUAGUGCCUCGAAAGGAGGUUCAGGUUCUGCAAACGACGCCGAAGGAGCUCACAGCGAGUCAGGUGGGUGGCACUCGACAGUGGCGGCGCCGCCGAGGAUUCCGAGGUGGGAUUUGGGUCCAUUGAGGUUGAAUUGGCGCCGCACAGACACGAAGGCAGCAGCAGGGCCGGCAAGGCAUGAAACAUACAACUGUAGGAAUAUAUAUAAACUCAUCUUUAAAUAUUGUAUGGAAAUGUUUGUCUAUGUUUCUUCA